UUAGCUUCUUAGCUGCUGGGAUCUACUGUAAAGAUGAGCCACAGUGGUUCAUAACAGUAGCCCCCUCAGGGAGGACUCCAGACACACAAACAUCUGAGGGGAACUUAAAGUCUUUGUAUAAAAUCACUAGGAAAAGGCUGAACAGCAGACAGACACUAAGGCAAAGCAGAUGACACCUCUGGAUGGAUGGCACCCUCCCAGGAACUGGCAGAAAAAAAUUAAUUUUUCCCGUAGACGCUGUUUGAACGUCCCAGACAUAUUCUGCUACUUAUGUGGUACCUAUAUUCUUGAAAAAUUUGGAAUCAACCAGAAAUGCUAUACUGCAUGGGGAAGAUGUUCCUGUGCCAGUGUUUACCACCCUGCCAUCAUGUUCCGAUGAUGAAGAAAUGAAUGACUUUGGUUCUGCUGCAGACAACAGUGGAAAUUAAUAUGGAGGAUGUACAUCGACACCUCAGCCUGGCUGCAUGUCUACCACUAUUUUGAGGUUUCUGUAAUGUGAUUGCAAUGGAAUUGCAAUUGCAUUGCUUUGUGGCGCUACACAUGCUGUACGGUCGUGUGCUGUGCUGGGCGGUCCCCAGAAUGCGAUUAUGGUGGUCAUUCCAAGUUGAUCGCUCGCUAGCAGUUUUUAGCAGCCGUGCAAACACUAUGCCGCCGCCCAGUGGGAGUGUAGCUUAGCGGAAGUGCGAACGAAUGUAACGCAGAGCGGCUACAAAAUAAUUUUGUGCAGUUUCAGAGUAGCUUCAGACCUACUCAGCGCUUGCGAUCACUUCAGACCAUUCAGUUCCGGAUUUGACGUCACAAACACGCCCUGCGUUCGCCCAGCCACGCCUGCAUUUUUCCUGGCACGCCUGCGUUUUUCCGAACACUCCCUGAAAACGGUCAGUUGACACCCAAAAAUGCCCAUUUCAUGUCAAUCACUAUGAGGCAAUCAGUGCGACUGAAAAGCAUCGCUAGAUCCUGUGUGAAACUACAUCGUUCGUUGUAAUAGUACGUCGCGCGUGCGCAUUGCGCCGCAUGCGCAGAAGUGCUGUUUUUUUGCUUCAUCGCUGCACAGCAAACGAAUGCAGCUAGCAAACAACUCGGAAUGACCACCAAUAUCUCUAGCAGUUUUUUGCUAUUUUAGCAAAUUUUUUAGGCAAAAACGAUAAAAUAUUUUAUAUACACUAUACAUACACAGUUAAAUGUGCAUGGUAUACACUUAAAUGUGGUAUCUAACCUAGCUUCAUUUUUUGUUAUGAAGAGGCCUAUUUAUCACAAGAAAUGAGUCUAAUAUCCCCUGAAAACACUCAUUUUCAGGUGAAAUACAGCCCCUUUAGGUGUUAAUGCAGGCAAUUAUAUUGCAAGACAUACCAAGCGUGGUCCCAGUAGCUAUUAACCUAUGGGCUAGUGUUAAGCAAUUUUUACCCAUCUGCCGCACAUGUACAUUAGACUGGCCGCCUCCAAACUCAGAAGCAGAGUGAUAACCUAAGUGAUCCCACUGCUUCAAGCUCCUCGUCGGGACAGGCUUUUAUGGGAGCCCAUGGGGGUCAUUCCGAGUUGAUCGCACGGUAGCAGUUUUUUGUACCCUUGCGAUCAGAUAGUCGCCGCCUAUGGGGGACUGUAUUUAAGCAUAGCAAGUGUGUUAUCGCUUGUGCAGGGGAGCUGUGCAAAAAGUUUUUGUGCAGUCUCUGGGUAGCUCUGAACUUACUCAGCCACUGCGAUCACUUCAGCCUGUCAGGUCCCGGAAUUGACGUCAGACACCCACCCUGCAAACGCCUAGACACGCCUGCAUUUACCACGGCACUCCCAGAAAACGGUCAGUUGCCACCCAGAAACGCCUUCUUGCUGUCAAUCACCUUGCAAUCGCCGCUGCGAUCGCUUUCUUUGUAAGGUCCCAUGCUACCCGGCAUUUCCCGUUACCAGGCAGCGACGCACCUGCGCAUUGCGGUCGCAGGGGAAGGCGUAGUUCAGACCUGAUCGCACCGCUGCAAAAAACUGCAGCGUGCCAUCGGGUCGGAAUGACCCUCCAUGUCCUAGCAAGAGAACACUGCUACAUACCAGUGAAAAUAUUAAUUUUAUGAGAUUCAUCCCACAAUAAAAAUGCAGGAUGUAAUGACUAGGCCUGUACUAUGAAUCAAAGAGAUUCACAAAAGAUAAUCUACAUUAAAAUAUAACACAUUUAUUUACACUUUUGUUUUAAAGCGCCAAUCAUUUAAAAGGAAAAAAAAAAUAAUUUUGAAUUUUAAAA